AUUGAACGCUGGCGGCAGGCUUAACACAUGCAAGUCGAACGAGUGGCGGACGGGUGAGUAAUGCCUGGGAAACUGCCUGAUGGAGGGGGAUAACUACUGGAAACGGUAGCUAAUACCGCAUACCAUCGGAUGUGCCCAGAUGGGAUUAGCUAGUAGGUGGGGUAACGGCUCACCUAGGCGACGAUCCCUAGCUGGUCUGAGAGGAUGACCGGCCACACGGGAACUGAGACACGGUCCAGACUCCGACGGGAGGCAGCAGUGGGGAAUAUUGCACAAUGGGCGCAAGCCUGCUGCAGCCAUGCCGAGUGUGUGAAGAAGGCCUUCGGGUUGUAAAGCACUUUCAGCGAGGAGGCGUUACCCGCAGAAGAAGCACCGGCUAACUCCGUGCCAGCCGCCGCGGUAAUAC
rnacentral:rRNA from 1 species